CAUAUAUAAUAUAUAUGUGUGUGUGUACACACACACACAUAUAUACACACACACACAACAAGUUGCAGAAGGGGAAGGGAGUGGAGGGGUUAAUCUUGGGGAAUCUUCUGCACUUAGCAAGAUCGUGACCCUCCCACACAGUACAGUAACUUAUAUACAUACCUGGAGGAAGGGAUGCUUUGCUUUGGGCUUCCUAAAAAUAUUUGGUGAUGGCUGAACCCUCCAACAUGCUCAUAGGACCGGACUCUGAUGCACCCACAAAGGCUGGCCUAGACGAGCAUCUGCUAAAGGCUACUCGAAGGUUCAGGAUUCUAGUCAAUGGAACAAGAGGAAGACUCGAGUGCCUGUAAGACCAGGUCCCUUUGAUGAGGCUGCAGCUAACCCAGAGAAGGAGGGUCGUCUUCUCCUGAGUUGUUGUAUCCUUCACGGUUUUUCUACUUGCAGAUCUUCUCAAAGACUCCCCAAGCCUGGCACUGAAGGGAAUUACAUUUACAGACCACUCCACUGUAUAUUUUUCAUCAGCUCAUCUGAGCAGACCAGACUACCUGCAAAUUACAUAUGAGAUUUCAAUAGGCAAAGUAUAUUCUUAUACGUGUGUUUGCAUGCGCGUGCACCCACACCAGCAUUUUGGGGACACCUGAUUCAAAGCAG
rnacentral:lncRNA from 1 species